UACGAAGGGGGCUAGCGUUGUUCGGAAUCACUGGGCGUAAAGGGCGCGUAGGCGGCCGAUCAAGUCGGGGGUGAAAGCCUGUGGCUCAACCACAGAAUUGCCUUCGAUACUGUUUGGCUUGAGACCGGAAGAGGUUAGUGGAACUGCGAGUGUAGAGGUGAAAUUCGUAGAUAUUCGGAAGAACACCAGUGGCGAAGGCGGCUCACUGGUCCGGUACUGACGCUGAUGUGCGAAAGCGUGGGGAGCAAACAGG
rnacentral:rRNA from 1 species